GAGACGCUAGUGGGCCUUUGAUCGCUGCUGUUUACUCAUUCACUCAGCAAACACAAAAUAAGCCUUCACUCAGAAGCCGCUGGAAAGUGCUGGAAGCAGCCCUCAGGGAGUCGCGCUAGAGGAAGCAGGACCCGGGCAGGAGUGGGGGCUGCAGGGAUCCCACCAGGUAGCAGAAGAGGUGGAUGGGAGAGACACUGGUCUUCCGGGAGGAACCAGCUUGCUGACACCUGAUUUGUAGACCAGGGAGAGACAUUUUGGACCUCUGACCUCCAGAACCAUAAGAUAAACUUGUGCCGCUUAA
rnacentral:lncRNA from 10 species